rnacentral:snRNA from 1 species
CAAGGGAAGUCGGUAAAA